rnacentral:rRNA from 1 species
AUUGAACGCUGGCGGCAGGCCUAACACAUGCAAGUCGAGCGGAUGAAGGGAGCUUGCUCCUGGAUUCAGCGGCGGACGGGUGAGUAAUGCCUAGGAAUCUGCCUGGUAGUGGGGGAUAACGUCCGGAAACGGGCGCUAAUACCGCAUACGUCCUGAGGGAGAAAUUGGGGGAUCUUCGGACUUCACGCUAUCAGAUGAGCCUAGGUCGGAUUAGCUAGUUGGUGGGGUAAAGGCCUACCAAGGCGACGAUCCGUAACUGGUCUGAGAGGAUGAUCAGUCACACUGUAACUGAGACACGGUCCAGACUCCUACGGGAGGCAGCAGUGGGGAAUAUUGGACAAUGGGGGAAAGCCUGAUCCAGCCAUGCCGCGUGUGUGAAGAUGGUCUUCGGAUUGUAAAGCACUUUAAGUUGGGAGGAAGGGCAGUAAGUUAAUACCUUGCUGUUUUGACGUUACCAGCAGAAUAAGCUCCGGCUAACUUCGUG